UAUAGCCCUAAUUUUUUUUUUUUUUUGCAACAUUGUCAGAAACAUUCCCUUUUUUCUCUCCCUAAAGCUAAACUCCAUUGUGCUCCUGUGUGUAUGCGCUGCACUGUGAUGUGUUUGUCUGGAAGAAGUUCUUCCCUCUACAUGUAUUCAGAUGUGCUAGUUACCAUGUCAGGGAAGAAUAGAAGCACAAAGUGCCUCAGGGGAUUGACAACCAGCCAAUGAGCUGAUUUAGUUUAAAGACAUUUAAACUAAAUCAAGUAGACAAGUCAAAAUGUUCAGUUUUACCAUUAGUGCUGGCAUUACUCAAAAUACCAAUGUAAGCACAGUGGAUCUAAAGGCUCAGGAGAGAUGGGUGACCUCUGACCUUUUUCUCCAACACCGAGUCUCUCCAUUGUGUUUGUUACAGCCAGUGGCCUUGUAUGUUUUUCUUUUCCUUUUCUGCAGCUUUACAGCCAACUGACUGGCUCUGGGGAUUGGAUGCAGCCGUCUCCCUGUGCCACUCCCUGAGGUCUUCAGCAGAGCUGAUUGGCUCACCAAUUGUCAGCUCCACCAAUCCCUGAUGAGGUUUCCCUUUUAAAACCCAAGACUUCCUGGAAGAAGGCGUGGCUGAUUCUUUGUUGAGACGGCUUGCCACUUUGUUGGGUGUUUGGUUGACUGCUGAAAGAUCACUUUGUCUUUCUGACAGCUUUUGUUAGCUUUGACUGCUUUGGUCCCUGUGGGGGAUUUUAGAGAUUUGUAGUUGGUUUUGUUUAACCUCGUUUACCUUGAACUAAAGUUACAGUUUUGUUUUAACUCUGUUUUGUGGAUUUUGUUUUAUUUAGUGUUUUUGGUUGUAAGCCCCUCCCUUUUGAUUAUUGUUUUUUUUUUUUACCUUUUUAUUUUUGUCAAAACCCAAACAAUAAAUCUCAUAUUGUUAAACCUUUAACAUCUAUGUUUUUUUAAUGUUACUUCCCUUUCCCCUGGCUGACCCGGGUUGUAACAGUGUUGAAUUUUCUCAUGCAGAGAACAAAAGGACCAACCGCAAGAGUAGCAAAGUUAUUUAAGGCCUUUUGGGUCUUGCCUACUGAAAACAGAUGAUCAAACUGUAUUUCCCAGCACAGUACUGAUUGGAUUCUGCUGAUAUCACUGACAUUAAUCCACCCAGGAUGCUGAACCGGUAGGAAGCAUUGAUUCACUUCCCAGACCUGCUGAACAGGAAGACUGUGAAGCAUAAACUGAAGAAAACUUUAAAGUGGACAUAUCAUGCUUUUAAAUCCUUCAUUUUAACAUGUAAAUCAUUCACUUGUGGUCUAUAUAAAGUAGAAUUGCAAUGCUUUGGUCUGAAUUCCUGGCUAUUGUAUCUCCACUGACAUGCAUGACCUUGUUUAGCAGUUCCACAACAAAUGCGGUGAUGUCAUAAACAAGAAAUCAUUAUAGUGAAUAGAGAAAAAUUAACAGACUGAAAAAUAUAAACCAAAAAGAAGAUAAAGACAGUCUCCUAGCAACAUUUGCGGCACUUUGCAGCAGUGAUGGCCGUAAAGCGAACAGAACUCAGCCUCAGCUUGAAAUGGGAGCACUGGUGCUGACUUACUCAUGUUGUUGCUGUACUUAGUGAUUUUCCAGAGCUUUCUACCAUGGUAGAGCCCUGAGAGCUCUCUCAUGGUAGAGAGCCAUGAGAGAGCCAAAAGGAAAAAUUGCACCUUCACAUCUCAGGUUGGUGUUCCCAACGCCACAACAAUGGUCUCUCUAAUGGUCUCUAGACCAUUUUGUUCCUAAGAAAGGAACACAAAUCGAAUCUAGCAACUUUCUCUGGUUUAUUAUUGAAGACUUUGGCGACAAAGUGGUAAAGCCCCAAUAGUACUGCAGCUACAACGGGCGGUGAGAGCUGCCAUGAGCCCCUCACACCUACGAAGUAUUUGCUGAGAGUGGAGGAGACCCACUCCAUUCAGUUUACACAUCACAAUGGAAUCACACAUGCACAACGCUGCUGGUGAUCCCGUUCUGGAUUAAAAAUGAUCUAAACAUAGUUUUUUCUAUGUUGUGCAAUGUAAACUGUCGCACCAAAACAAAAUAUCUUCAUUUGAUUCACACAGCCUCAGUGUUCUGUUAAAUUAUAAAUAAGGUGGAUAGAAUGCAAAAAUAAGGGACACCACUGUUUAAAUGUAUUUUUGAAGUAUCUGAUUGAGAUUCUGUAUUGAAUGAGACUCUGAAUAAAUGAGUCGGAGGCAAAUAAAAAACCUAGAAUGGACAUCCCUAUUAAAAAUUACAAUCACCACGGAUGUAAACCCUUACAUUCAAGUUUUCCCCCAGUGUAUUAUAAGCCUGGCAUGCUGCAAGGCAACAGAGCUACCAACUGAUGAAUAUUGGAAAGUCAAAUUGUUUUUCAGUCAUGUUUGAUGCAUACAGUAUUUUUAUAAUGGAAGAUAACAUAGUUAAUUGAUAGUGCUAAAAAGUGGCACUAAUGUGCCUGAAAAAUACAUAAUAUGCCCCUUUAAUCAUAAAUGUUAAUUUUUUACAAAAGCCAACUGUUGUACCAACCCUUGUUGUAUACCUGGUUCAAUUGAAAGAAGAGCAGUUUCACACUUUGCUCAUGUUGAACUUAUAAAUGGGUUCCUGGUGACCCAGAAGCAAACCAAGACCAUGAAAUGUUAAGGCAAAUGUUUAAAAUAUUGCAGAACAAUUCUAAAUCAACUAAUGUCAAGAAAAUUAAUGUAAAAUAAAGAGGACUAUGAAGACAUUAUCUUACCAAAAGUCGAGAGAGUAAAAGAGACCCCAAGCGCAGGAAUGCUCCACCAGUGGAAUGUAGAUGUGUGAGAAUAUAAAAGAAUGUCUCUGCUCGCUCACGGUUAAUGUUUUUGGCAUCGAUGGGCAGAUCCAUCCAGUCUUCUAUCACUACACAUGAUUGGCUACAUUCCCUGAUUGGGCAUCUAAAUGACAGUGAGUUUUCCUGAGUCUUCCUUGUGAUUUUGAAUGUUUAUACUUGAUCAGACUGACAAAUUAAGGGCUCAGCUCCAACUUGAUACUUCUAUGCUAUAUAUUAUGUAUUUAGAAAUAUUCAGUUGAAUUGAAAUAUACUUUAUUGAUCCCACAAGGGAAAUGAAAUGUUGUAACCAGGUUUUCUUCGAGUUGUAGAUCAGCAGCAUCAGAACCAGGGACAUAAAGAUGCUCAGUAGCCUGAUAAAGAAGGCUGGUUCUGUUCCGGUUCUGUUCUGGUUCUGUUCUGGGGAUGACUGUGGAACCUCUUGGGAUCAUAAUGUAAAGAAGGAUUCUUCAUAAAAUCAAGAAAAUUAUGGACAACUCUGUCCAUCCUCUUUAUGAAACUGCUAUUCAGCAGCAGAGUGUCUUCAGUCAGAGGCUUAUUCAGAUUCGCUGUAAUACAGACUUCUUUAGAAGAUCUUUCCUGGCUACUGCUGUCACAAACUGAAGAACCUUAAGUCAUGAGCUACAACAUUUAAUUUCCCUUUGGGACCAAUAAAGCAUUUUUGAACUGAUUUGUUGCUUUGCAGUGUUAAACCGUUAUAUCUAAAGUAUAUCAAAUGACACCAAUGUAGAUGCUUUGGUUAUUUUUAUUGGUAACCAA